rnacentral:rRNA from 1 species
GGUCCGACUUUGAUCCUGGCUCAGGACGAACGCUGGCGGCGUGCCUAACACAUGCAAGUCGAGCGGAGACAGGGAGUAGCUUGCUAUGAGCUGUUUUAGCGGCGGACGGGUGAGUAACGCGUGAGCAACCUUUCCCAGACAGGGGAAUAACACACCGAAAGGUGUACUAAUACCGCAUAAGACCACGGGAUCACAUGGUUCUGAGGUAAAAGAUUUAUCGGUUUGGGGUGGGCUCGCGUCCGAUUAGGUAGUUGGUGAGGUAACGGCCCACCAAGCCGACGAUCGGUAGCCGACCUGAGAGGGUGAUCGGCCACAUUGGGACUGAGACACGGCCCAAACUCCUACGGGAGGCAGCAGUGGGGAAUAUUGGGCAAUGGAGGAAACUCUGACCCAGCAACGCCGCGUGGAGGAAGAAGGUUUUCGGAUCGUAAACUCCUGUCCUUGGAGACGAGUAGAAGACGGUAUCCAAGGAGGAAGCCCCGGCUAACUACGUGCCAGCAGCCGCGGUAAUACGUAGGGGGCAAGCGUUGUCCGGAAUAAUUGGGCGUAAAGGGCGCGUAGGCGGCUCGGUAAGUCUGGAGUGAAAGUCCUGCUUUUAAGGUGGGAAUUGCUUUGGAUACUGUCGGGCUUGAGU